CUAAGAAUAUUCCGCAAUGGGCGAAAGCCUGACGGAGCGGCGCCGCGUGGAUGACGAAGGCCGAAAGGUUGUAAAAUCCUUUUGCGGGCGAAGAAGGAGGCGGGGAGGGAAUGCCCCGCCGGUGACGCCGGCCCGCGAAUAAGCCCCGGCUAAUUACGUGCCAGCAGCCGCGGUAACACGUAAGGGGCGAGCGUUGUUCGGAAUUAUUGGGCGUAAAGGGCGCGUAGGCGGCCGCGUAAGUCUGAUGUGAAAACCCCGGGCUCAACCCGGGAACUGCAUUGGAAACUGCGCGGCUUGAGUCACGGAGGGGAAGCCGGAAUUCCUGGUGUAGGGGUGAAAUCUGUAGAUAUCAGGAAGAACACCGAUGGCGAAGGCAGGCUUCCAGCCGAUGACUGACGCUGAGGCGCGAAAGCGCGGGGAGCAAACAGGAUUAGAUACCCUGGUAGUCCGCGCCGUAAACGAUGCGCACUAGGCGUCGGGGCGAGCGUUCCGGUGCCGAAGCGAACGCGGUAAGUGCGCCGUCCU
rnacentral:rRNA from 1 species